rnacentral:misc_RNA from 1 species
GAUGAAGAACGUAGCGAAAUGCGAUAAGUAGUGUGAAUUGCAGAAUUCAGUGAAUCAUCGAAUCUUUGAACGCACAUUGCGCCCCUUGGUAUUCCAUGGGGCAUGCCUGUUCGAGCGUCAUUUGUACCUUCAAGCUCUGCUUGGUGUUGGGUGUUUGUCUCGCCUCUGCGUGUAGACUCGCCUUAAAACAAUUGGCAGCCGGCGUAUUGAUUUCGGAGCGCAGUACAUCUCGCGCUUUGCACUCAUAACGACGACGUCCAAAAGUACAUUUUUACACUCUUGACCUCGGAUCAGGUAGGGAUACCCGCUGAACUUAAGCAUAUCAAUAAGCAGAGGA